UACCACACGGAGGUAUUUCAGCAGGAGCCGGAAGUGAGUUAAAGUUGUGGCAACGCGCGGAAUAGCUGAAGUUCUGAGUUAAUUUAGUAUUUGUGGAAGAUUUGUGAGUUUAUUCAGGUAAACAUGGCGUCUAAACGUAAAUGUGACGCCACGGUUCCUGCGGAGGAAAGUGACCAACUGCUCAUCCGCCCGCUAGGAGCAGGACAGGAGGUGGGACGGUCCUGCAUCAUCCUGGAGUUCAAGGGACCAAAGAUUAUGCUGGACUGCGGGAUCCAUCCUGGUCUGGACGGGAUGGACGCUCUGCCGUACAUCGACCUGAUCGACCCGGCUGAAAUUGACCUGCUGCUCAUCAGCCACUUCCACCUGGAUCACUGUGGAGCUCUGCCCUGGUUCCUGCAGAAGACCAGCUUUAAAGGACGCACCUUCAUGACUCACGCCACCAAGGCCAUCUACCGCUGGCUGCUGUCCGACUACGUCAAAGUCAGCGGGCUCUUCAGUCUCCACCGACCCUGGGUCUCCCCGACUGUAACACACAUUUCACCCAGACUGUUGACGAAAAGGGGGGGUACAUGACCUCAGUACCACUACAAGACCAUGGGGGACGACUGAGACCUGUAGCUUAUUUUUCAUCCAAACUGGACUCUGUUGCAGCCAAACUGCCUGAGAGCUGUGGCGGGAAGAAAUAUUGUGUUGUCAUGGUAGAUAUGUUCUCUAAAGGGGUAGAGGCAUUUUCAACAUCUAAACAGGAUGCAGCAGCAGUUGCAAAAGCUUUGAUAAGCCAGAUCAUCGCUGAGCGAUCCCAGCUAAGAUCUCCAGUGAUAAUGGCACACCUUUCAUUAGCGCAGCACUGAAGAGUGUAGGGGAGGAUAUGGGGAUUGAUCUGAGGCAACAUUGUGCUCAUCAUCCAGCUAGCGGAGGUGCAGUUGAAUAAGAAAAUGGCACAUUGAAAAACAAGCUUGUUAAAUGCUGUGAAGAAACAGGUUUAACAUGGACAAAAGCUUUGCC